AGAAUGAACGCUGGCGGCGUGCUUAACACAUGCAAGUCGAACGGAAUCCAAGGAGCUUGCUCUGGAAGAUUUAGCGGCGAACGGGUGAGUAUCACGUGAGCAACCUGCCCCGAAGACUGGGAUAACACCGGGAAACCGGUGCUAAUACCGGAUACCUUCCAAUGACCGCAUGGUCGAUGGAAGAAAUGUUUUUCGCUUCGGGAGGGGCUCGCGGUCCAUCAGCUUGUUGGCGGGGUAACGGCCCACCAAGGCUUCGACGGAUAGCUGGUCUGAGAGGACGAUCAGCCACACUGGAACUGAGACACGGUCCAGACUCCUACGGGAGGCAGCAGUGGGGAAUCUUGCGCAAUGGACGAAAGUCUGACGCAGCAACGCCGCGUGAGGGACGAAGGUUUUCUGAAUUGUAAACCUCUUUCGACAGGGACGAUAAUGACGGUACCUGUAGAAGAAGCACCGGCCAACUAUGUGCCAGCAGCCGCGGU
rnacentral:rRNA from 1 species